GGGUCAGUAGGUUGGUCGUGCCACCGGUACGUACUGGUCUCACUGAUUCCUCCUUCCUGAAGAACCGUAAUGCCAUUAAUUUGGUGUGGCGGGGAAACAGGACUGUUACUUUGAAAAAAUUAGAGUGUUUAAAGCAAGCUAACGCUUGAAUACAUUAGCAUGGAAUAAUGAAAUAGGACGAUCGAUCCUAUUUUGCUGGUUUCUAGGAUUGACGUA
rnacentral:rRNA from 1 species